GGAACUGGCGACAAAGAGAGCAGAAAGGAAAAAUUCAGAAUGGAGAAAGAAGGCUCACGACCAAAACGCCAAACGGAAAAGCGACGUCAGCUCCUUC
ensembl:ncRNA R11E3.18 ncRNA